UGCAUUCACUACUGUAAGUCGCUCUGGAUAAGAGCGUCUGCUAAAUGUAAAAUG
rfam:Salmo salar isolate Sally breed double haploid chromosome ssa21, whole genome shotgun sequence.